UACAGAGGGGGCAAGCGUUGUUCGGAAUUACUGGGCGUAAAGGGCGCGUAGGCGGCCGCCUAAGUCAGACGUGAAAUCCCUCGGCUCAACCGGGGAACUGCGUCUGAUACUGGGUGGCUUGAAUCCGGGAGAGGGAUGCGGAAUUCCAGGUGUAGCGGUGAAAUGCGUAGAUAUCUGGAGGAACACCGGUGGCGAAGGCGGCAUCCUGGACCAAUAUUGACGCUGAGGAGCGAAAGCUAGGGGAGCAAACGGG
rnacentral:rRNA from 1 species